GGGGAUGUAGCUCAGAGGUAGAGCGUUCGCUUUGCAGUUUUCUCACUAAAAAUGCGAAAAGCCCGGGGAUCGAGACCCCGCUUCUCCA